AGUGAACGCUGGCGGUAGGCCUAACACAUGCAAGUCGAACGGCAGCACAGUAAGAGCUUGCUCUUACGGGUGGCGAGUGGCGGACGGGUGAGGAAUACAUCGGAAUCUACUUUUUCGUGGGGGAUAACGUAGGGAAGCUUACGCUAAUACCGCAUACGACCUACGGGUGAAAGCAGGGGAUCUUCGGACCUUGCGCGAUUGAAUGAGCCGAUGUCGGAUUAGCUAGUUGGCGGGGUAAAGGCCCGCCAAGGCGACGAUCCGUAGCUGGUCUGAGAGGAUGAUCAGCCACACUGGAACUGAGACACGGUCCAGACUCCUACGGGAGGCAGCAGUGGGGAAUAUUGGACAAUGGGCGCAAGCCUGAUCCAGCCAUACCGCGUGGGUGAAGAAGGCCUUCGGGUUGUAAAGCCCUUUUGUUGGGAAAGAAAAGCAGCAGGUUAAUACCCCGCUGUUCUGACGGUACCCAAAGAAUAAGCACCGGCUAACUUCGUG
rnacentral:rRNA from 1 species